rnacentral:rRNA from 1 species
GACGAACGCUGGCGGCGUGCUUAACACAUGCAAGUCGAACGGCAAGGCCCUGCUUUUGUGGGGUGCUCGAGUGGCGAACGGGUGAGUAACACGUGAGUAACCUGCCCUUGACUUUGGGAUAACUUCAGGAAACUGGGGCUAAUACCGGAUAGGAGCUCCUGCUGCAUGGUGGGGGUUGGAAAGUUUCGGCGGUUGGGGAUGGACGCGCGGCUUAUCAGCUUGUUGGUGGGGUAGUGGCUUGCCAAGGAUUGGGCGGGUAGCCGGCCUGAGAGGGUGACCGGCCACAGUGGGACAGGGAUACGGCCCAGACGCCUACGGGAGGCAGGAGCGGGGAAUAGUGCACAAUGGGCGGAAGCCGGAUGCAGCAACGCCGCGUGCGGGAGGACGGCCGUCGGGUUGGAAACCGCUUUCGCCUGUGACGAAGCGUGAGUGACGGUAAUGGGUAAAGAAGCACCGGCUAACUACGU